rnacentral:rRNA from 1 species
UACGGGGGGGGCAAGCGUUGUUCGGAAUUACUGGGCGUAAAGGGCCAGUAGGCGGCCAACUAAGUCCGACGUGAAAUCCCCAGGCUUAACCUGGGAACUGCGUCGGAUACUGGAUGGCUUGAAUUCGGGAGAGGGAUGCAGAAUUCCAGGUGUAGCGGUGAAAUGCGUAGAUAUCUGGAGGAACAUCAGUGGCGAAAGCGACUUCCUGGACCAAUACUGACGCUCAUGUGCGAAAGCGUGGGGAGCAAACAGG